GAUGAACGCUGGCGGCGUGCCUAAUACAUGCAAGUCGAGCGAACGGACGAGAAGCUUGCUCCUCUGAUGUUAGCGGCGGACGGGUGAGUAACACGUGGAUAACCUACCUAUAAGACUGGGAUAACUUCGGGAAACCGUAGCUAAUACCGGAUAAUAUUUUGAACCGCAUGGUUCAAUAGUGAAAGACGGUCUUGCUGUCACUUAUAGAUGGAUCCGCGCUGCAUUAGCUAGUUGGUAAGGUAACGGCUUACCAAGGCAACGAUGCAUAGCCGACCUGAGAGGGUGAUCGGCCACACUGGAACUGAGACACGGUCCAGACUCCUACGGGAGGCAGCAGUAGGGAAUCUUCCGCAAUGGGCGAAAGCCUGACGGAGCAACGCCGCGUGAGUGAUGAAGGUCUUCGGAUCGUAAAACUCUGUUAUUAGGGAAGAACAUAUGUGUAAGUAACUAUGCACAUCUUGACGGUACCUAAUCAGAAAGCCACGGCUAACUACGUG
rnacentral:rRNA from 1 species